AUUGAACGCUGGCGGCAGGCCUAACACAUGCAAGUCGAACGAGUGGCGGACGGGUGAGUAAUGUCUGGGAAACUGCCUGCUGGAGGGGGAUAACUACUGGAAACGGUAGCUAAUACCGCAUACCAUCGGAUGUGCCCAGAUGGGAUUAGCUAGUGGGUGGGGUAAAGGCUAACCUAGGCGAAGAUCCCUAGCUGGUCUGGGAGGAUGACCAGCCACACGGGACUGGAGACACGGUCCAGACUCCUACGGGAGGCAGAAGUGGGGAAUAUGGCACAAUGGGGGAAAGCCUGAUGCAGCCCUGCCGCGUGUAUGAAGAAGGCCUUCGGGUUGUAAAGUACUUUCAGCGGGGAGGCGUUACCCGCAGAAGAAGCACCGGCUAACUCCGUGCCAGCAGCCGCGGUAAUUC
rnacentral:rRNA from 1 species